rnacentral:rRNA from 1 species
GACGAACGCUGGCGGCGUGCCUAAUACAUGCAAGUUGAGCGCUGAAGGUUGGUACUUGUACCAACUGGAUGAGCAGCGAACGGGUGAGUAACGCGUGGGGAAUCUGCCUUUGAGCGGGGGACAACAUUUGGAAACGAAUGCUAAUACCGCAUAAAAACUUUAAACACAAGUUUUAAGUUUGAAAGAUGCAAUUGCAUCACUCAAAGAUGAUCCCGCGUUGUAUUAGCUAGUUGGUGAGGUAAAGGCUCACCAAGGCGAUGAUACAUAGCCGACCUGAGAGGGUGAUCGGCCACAUUGGGACUGAGACACGGCCCAAACUCCUACGGGAGGCAGCAGUAGGGAAUCUUCGGCAAUGGACGAAAGUCUGACCGAGCAACGCCGCGUGAGUGAAGAAGGGUUUCGGAUCGUAAAACUCUGUUGGUAGAGAAGAACGUUGGUGAGAGUGGAAAGCUCAUAAAGUGACGGUAACUACCCAGAAAGGGACGGCUAACUACGUG